rnacentral:tRNA from 1 species
GUGAAUAUAGUUUACCAAAAACCCUAGAUUGUGAAUCUAGAAACAGAAGUCUUAAUCUUCUUAUUUACC